AGUCUUUUACGCUCAUCUUCUUAUUCACACUCCAGUGGUUGAAUUGGCAUCUCCAAGGUGCGAUGAGUGUUAUGAACGAGGGUAGCUAACUCUGUGAAAGAAAUGGCCAAGUGGACAGUCUAAGUAAGGCACAGAGGACCACGAACCCAUGCAAAAUAAAUCCCCUAGCUCGGGUACAUUGGCAUCUCAGGAAUCACACACUAACAGCCAAUUGCUCAGUUCAGAACAAACAUUAAACCGCCUUCUAGAUGCUGGUGUGUGCUGGAGGAUAAAGUUCAAAGGAUAGACUUUGAUCAUUAUGACACAUUUGCACAGAGACUCUUCCAGAAAGUAAACACUCCCAAGUUUAACUUGGCCCCUUCACUGACCAUCAGCUUUAACCAUGUCUCUAGGCCAUUUGCAUGGUGCUCCUCAUGCAAAGACCCUUAUUAGAAAAUGAGGCAUCACUUCAAGAAUCGAUCCAGUUUCCUUCUCUGCCUGUAGCUUAUAGCUUUAGACUUCAGCCCACAAACUCUGUUCUCCACCCACAUGUCACAUCCCCCCAUCACAGUGAAAUAGAAUCUCUGAGUGCAUGAAUGUCAAAACAAUGUGCUAAUGUGGAAUCCAGCCACCCAAGUUUGCUCUGAGCACUGCUAUUGCGAAAUCCAAUCUAUUUUAUCACUCUGUCUUCGUGCUGGAUUUAGCAGCUUCAUAAUUCCACACCUCUGUCAACGAGACCCUCAUUAUGCAGGCUUCUAAACAUUUUACUUGGGGAAAGAAUAAACAACAUAUUUAGUACUAAUGAGCGAGCAGCUCUUGCAGACAACCAGCUACUUGCACGGCACAGUUUGUCACAUGUUCUGGGUGUGUGGCCUCAGGAUUGCAGUAAAAUGGAGCACCCGUCUUCCACUCACUAUGGUUGCUAUACAGAUACCUUUUCUGCAUCUACACGUGGAGUCUGAAGACCUGGAUCAGAUGCUGGUUCUAUCACUCACCAGUCUAUGAAAGAGAGUUCUGUCCUACUGACGCCAAAGAAGUGAGGUCUAUUGGAGGCCGCUUAGCAAGUCCUAAGAUACCUUCUGCAUCCUGGGUACUGUAUUCACUCGUGGAGAUGGAAAAAAUAAGAUACUGUUUAAUGAAAACUUCCAUUUAAAUGUAUUUCUGGUUUUACUUAAUUAGUGCGUGUAAAUCUAAGGAGUACUCAGCUCGUUUUUUCUUUCCGAAACACCUGCACUGAGAUGUCAAUGUCAACAUCCCAAGACCAAGCUCCUCCAGAGCAGACCACACUCUGUGGAUCUGUGGAUCUCUUCAGUUAGAGCAUUUACCCAGAACACCUCUGUGGCCCAUGGGGUGCUGCAAUAGAGAAAAGCGGAUGGUAGGACUUGAGUUAAAGGGAGGUUUCACAAUGGAUGAGUGGAGUUUCAGGAGUGUUUUAAAUUCUACAUGGAUAAGACUUUUGAGUUUGACUUCCCUAGACCAUCAGAAUCCCUUCAGGAAAAAAAGAAAAAAUCAACAGCCCAUGAGUGCCUAAAGGAAAUAAUACCCAUUUUCAUUUACUGCCUAGAAUCAUUCUAUUUCUCUUUAUUUGUGAAAAGCAUCUUUGCUGUGUAAUAUCAUGAAACAAAAUAGACUCAUCAACAUAGCUGGCAUAAAACUAAAAGAUGAUUAUCAUUUUUUUCUACUUGCUCAAUCCUUCUCCAUCUUAUCCUGUCUUUGAAUUUGUCUGCAAACACGUGAAUCACAGUAACGUCUCAUGAAGCAUAGUCCAAUUUCAUUUUAAAAUUAGCAUUGGAAACCAUUAUUCUGGAGUACAACAAAAAGUUCUUACCAAAAAAAAAAAAAAAAAGUUCUUGAUUUGGGGCUGGUUUAGAGCAAUCCUCAAGUAGAGGUGAGGUACUUUCUCUGAUUUGAGUGGUAUAUUUAUUUAUUCCCAUGUGUUCGGUGAAUUCCUUCUGUGUUCUAGGCACUGUGCUAGGCCCUGGGGCACAGACGUGACAUGAGUCGGGCACGAUGCUGUAUUUGCACACAGCUGGCCCGGUGAGCCUGCCACUGGGGUGGGGGGACACUGUCAGAACCUCGACACGUGGCGGUGAAGGGGAAGCAGAAAGUGGAAGCGUGAAGAUUUGAGAGCAGAUUCAGGAAGGCAUGUCAUAGGAAGAGUGACAGAGAGAAGAAACAGCAGAGGUUUGAGGCCUCCCAAAACUCUCACUGAAAGAGAAUUUCAGAUGUCACCGGCUUUCCAUAAAUAACUGUUUAUAGGUGAGUUUUAAAUUUUUAUAGCUCCAAGGAAAUGCCAAGUUUAAUGUUUCACAUUAUAGAAUACACAGUGAAUUGCUGCAUUAAAAUAAGGAUUGGCUAGAGAUUUGAAGUUGUGAGAGUCUGUUUUUAUGUCUUUAUAAUGUUUUGGUAUACAGUGAUCACGCUCUGCAGUGAAAAUAGGGCAAAACAAACCUUUCAUAAAGGGAGAAUUAAAUAAAAAUUUUGGUACUCAGAACUAUAAUUACA
rnacentral:lncRNA from 12 species